UUUGGUUUGUUACGUGUGGUUGGCUGCGGCGUUUGCAACAACUUCCAUGCUUUCAGACCUCUUCAGUUGUGCGGCAAGGCUUGUAUCGCCUUGAGCGUAUUGUGGGUUUUCUGUGUUGGCUACCUAAUCAAUGGUAUCGGUHGGAUHGAUCAAUGUUUCAUUUCGUCUACCGUCGCAUUCGCGGCGUGAGAUGAACCUUGAUGCGGUCUCUUUGAUCCACCUCGUCGAAGCGCAUGCUUUGGCGUUGUGGCACAUUGAGCAUUGCUUGGUCUCUUGUAUACGGAACAUAUAGUGGGCAUGGAUCUAACGAUUCUCGUUUGCCCUCAUAUUAGCGUAACGCUUCUCUUACACGACUUGCACCACGUUUUAG
rnacentral:misc_RNA from 1 species